rnacentral:rRNA from 1 species
AAUAAACGCUGGCGGCGUGCUUAACACAUGCAAGUCGAGCGAGAAAGGUCUUCGGACUGAGUAAAGCGGCAAACGGGUGAGUAACGCGUAGGAAUCUGCCUUUCAGUGAGGAAUACCCUCGAGAAAUCGAGGUUAAUACUGCAUACGUCUUGAAAAAGAGAAAGAUGGCCUCUUUGCUGUCGCUGAAAGAUGAGCCUGCGUACUAUUAGCUAGUUGGUAGGGUAAAGGCCUACCAAGGCGAUGAUGGUUAGCCGGCCUGAGAGGGUGUGCGGCCACACUGGAACUUAGACGCGGUCCAGACUCCUACGGGAGGCAGCAGUGAGGAAUAUUGCGCAAUGGGCGAAAGCCUGACGCAGCGACGCCGCGUGGAGGAUGAAGGUCUUCGGAUUGUAAACUUCUGUUAAGCGGGAAGAAAAGCGAUGCUCUAAUACAGCAUUGACAUGACGGUACCGCUAGAGAAAGCACCGGCUAACUUCGUGCCAGCAGCCGCGGUAACAC